AGAAUCUGGUUUCUCUUCAGAUCAUAUAAAUCUUUCCCCUUUUACUAAAGAUUUCCAUGGAGACUUGUUGCUUAUAGUUUCUAGCUUGUUACCAGUUAUGAAUUCACACAUCA